GAUGAACGCUGGCGGCGUGCCUAAUACAUGCAAGUCGAGCGAACAGACGAGGAGCUUGCUCCUCUGACGUUAGCGGCGGACGGGUGAGUAACACGUGGAUAACCUACCUAUAAGACUGGGAUAACUUCGGGAAACCGGAGCUAAUACCGGAUAAUAUAUUGAACCGCAUGGUUCAAUAGUGAAAGACGGUUUUGCUGUCACUUAUAGAUGGAUCCGCGCCGCAUUAGCUAGUUGGUAAGGUAACGGCUUACCAAGGCAACGAUGCGUAGCCGACCUGAGAGGGGGAGCGGCCACACGGGAAGUGAGACACGUCCAAGCCCCCGCCGGGAGGCAGCAGAGGGGAUCCUGCGGAAGGGGGAGAGAGCCGGAAGGACCAGCGCGGGGGGAGUGAUGAGGGUCUUGGAAUCGAAAAACUUUGUUAUUGGGGAAAAAAAAAUGUGAAAGUAAAUAGGCCGGCCUGGACGGUCCCUAAUAAGAAACCCACGGCAAACUACGGC
rnacentral:rRNA from 1 species